AGCACCCGCAACAGAGGCUGUAGAGAAAUCCUUAGCUCUUAAACCUAGGGAUUUACAAUAUAAUAACAAUAUAAACACUCACUUACCUAAGGAUUAAUCCUUAGAUAAGGAUUUUAAGGAUCAAGUCCUUAUACACGUGGCGGCUUGGCAUUGGGUGGAGAGAAUUCUCAGAUGAAUUUCGUUAUGCUUCACGCCAUUGACGGAGACCUGAUCGAUGCCGACUAUGAAAGCUUCACCAUCCAAGGUCCUGGUUUCUCUUGGCCCCUUCACCAACAACCUCUUGCCGUUUCUUCCAAUUCCAGCGCAGGAGUUGAUGGUUCGGCUGGAAAUUCAGAAGCCAGCAAGGAACAUGGCUCCAAAAAGAGGGCAAGAUGUGAAUCAUCCUCUGCCAUUAGCUCAAAAGCAUGUAGAGAGAAGCAGUGCCGAGACAGGCUGAAUGUCAAGUAAUCUUUUGAGUUUUGUGUACAUCUUAUAGAUAAGUUAUAUAAGGAAAGGACGUAUAUGCACACGCAAAUGGUGUGAGUAAGCGUUGGAUGAUGGCUUUGUAAUAAAGGGAAAGUCGACGUAAUUAAGUUGUUGGAGGUUGAGAUAAUAAUUAAGCUUGUGAUCACAACACUCUCACUUGUAUCCCAAAAGUUCAUGAUUUCCUUAAACCUUCUUCAUAUAUACUCACAGCUCACCCAAGUCUAUUUAUUGCUCUUUCAUCUACAACCUCAAAAAUUUUAUAUAAACCAAUAAAAUAUAAAAUAAAUAUAUUGUGGCAUUUAUGUGAAUAUUUUGUAAAAUUUUCUAUACUUUCAGACUGGUAUCAAGUGAAAUGAAAUUACGUGUAAUCAGAUA